rnacentral:lncRNA from 10 species
AGAAGCAGGCACCAGCUAGUGUGCGAAUUCAGAGGAAGGAGACCGAAUCCAGCCUGGGCACAGGAGGGAAAGCGUCCUGGAGGCAGCUGGUCCCCAGGUGGCCCUUAAGGAUAAAGAAAAGUUAGCUUGGUGAAGGGCUGAGGAAGGCAGUGAGCCUUCUAGGAAGAGGGGAGAAAUCAAGCACAGGCGUGGCCCUGACACGGAGGGCUGCACAGAAGGUGGCUCUCACUGGGAACAUGGCCAAGAGUGGACAACACCUGGGGACCCCUGCCGAAUCUGCCGGUGCCUGAAGGAUAUUGCCUGGAACAGUGGCUCACACCUGUAAACCC